AUUCAGUAAAACAUCACACCAAAAGACCCCUCCCCCCCAAAAAAAAAAAAUAAUAAUAAUAAUAAUAAAAAUAAACAAACAAAUAAAAAGAAAAUAAAGAAAAAAAAAUACAAAAAAUAAAACAACUGAAAAAAGACACCCCAGGAAAACCACCCAAUCUUACCUCCUUUACCCUCCUGACCCCCGUUUACUCCCUCGACCUCCUGACCUCAUGACCUCCUCUUCUUCAGAAUAACCGAAGCCUGGUCAUGGGCUGGGUGUGGAUCAACGCCAUCCUGAUGGUCAUCAGCAUCGGCCUGGCCAUCGCUUUGAUAGCCCUGGGAGGCAUUGCCAACGGGGUCAUUAAUCUCGUUGCCUGUCUUAUCAGUAUCUACUUCAUCGUCGUUGUGUAUUCCUUCGCCAUGGUAGACCUCCAAGGCCCCGUGAACAUGGCUUAAGACGACGGGGAGGAAGGUGAGAGGAAGGCAGCAGCAAGUGGGCGACGUAAGUGAUUCUGUCUGUGGAGGAAAUUGGUUGUACGAAGAUAUAGUUGUUUGUCACUGUUUAGCACUGGCGCGUUGGAAAUUCAACUAUUCUUCUUUAUAUUUAGAAUUAGAAUUAGUGGAAACAAUUGAUUGAUAGGAAUGAAGCGUGUUACGGAAAGGCAAGGAAAGAAGGAGACCGGGAAAGCUAUUUAGAUUUAAAGGUUUGGAAAUAAGAUAUACGGUUUGUCGAAAUUUAGGGUUAUGGCGUACACAAACGCGGCCCGAAUAAGAUCAAACUGUAGAGAAAAGGAACACGACAUACUGCUCAUGAAUACUUGGGUAUUUUGAGUUAUAAGCUUUAUCACUGAAAUCGCAUUUAUGCAGUACAGCAUCUUUGGCAUGAUAUCAAACAGCAAGAUAAAAUUUGUAUACCUGUUCUAAUAAAUAUGACAUUCCGAUGUAAAUAGCAA